AGUAUGAAAGCUCUAUCCUUCCUUCCUACUCCCUCCUACCGACCACGCAGGACAAUUCCGCAGACGUGAAUUGAAGCUGCGGAGCUCUUGGCUCUCUCGGCAAUGGAGUCAACAUUAUCAGUAACCACAACAAUGACAUUUUUAUCCCUAACCAAAACCCUUAACUCCAGCUCUUCGUCUACUUCUCCUUUCAUUUCUCAU
rnacentral:lncRNA from 1 species